AGUGAACGCUGGCGGUAGGCCUAACACAUGCAAGUCGAACGGCAGCACAGUAAGAGCUUGCUCUUACGGGUGGCGAGUGGCGGACGGGUGAGGAAUACAUCGGAAUCUACUUUUUCGUGGGGGAUAACGUAGGGAAACUUACGCUAAUACCGCAUACGGCCUACGGGUGAAAGCAGGGGAUCUUCGGACCUUGCGCGAUUGAAUGAGCCGAUGUCGGAUUAGCUAGUUGGCGGGGUAAAGGCCCACCAAGGCGACGAUCCGUAGCUGGUCUGAGAGGAUGAUCAGCCACACUGGAACUGAGACACGGUCCAGACUCCUACGGGAGGCAGCAGUGGGGAAUAUUGGACAAUGGGCGCAAGCCUGAUCCAGCCAUACCGCGUGGGUGAAGAAGGCCUUCGGGUUGUAAAGCCCUUAUGUUGGGAAAGAAAAGCAGCAGGUUAAUACCCCGCUGUUCUGACGGUACCCAAAGAAUAAGCACCGGCUAACUUCGUG
rnacentral:rRNA from 1 species